UAUUUGUCACACGCAUAUGGUGCUUUGCAAAAAGUUAAAAGGGAAUGCGGAAAAAAGCCGCAACAGCCCCCGCUACUGUAUAUGGGAUGAAAGCUGCGUUCAACAGUCAUUGAAUCGAUACCGGGAUUGCCGGUUUCUGUCGGGAACUUAAGUUCCGGCCGGAGGAGUGUUAUGGAUUUGAGAAGGCUGCAGCAAGUAAAACGACCAUGAGUCAGGAAAUCUGCCAUAUGUAAUUUUUUUGG
rnacentral:ncRNA from 1 species